rnacentral:rRNA from 1 species
AGCGAACGCUGGCGGCAGGCCUAACACAUGCAAGUCGAACGAACCUUUCGGGGUUAGUGGCGGACGGGUGAGUAACACGUGGGAACGUGCCUUUAGGUUCGGAAUAACUCAGGGAAACUUGUGCUAAUACCGAAUGUGCCCUUCGGGGGAAAGAUUUAUCGCCUUUAGAGCGGCCCGCGUCUGAUUAGCAAGUUGGUUGAGGUAAUGGCUCACCAAGGCGACGAUCAGUAGCUGGUCUGAGAGGAUGAUCAGCCACAUUGGGACUGAGACACGGCCCAAACUCCUAUGGGAGGCAGCAGUGGGGAAUCUUGCGCAAUGGGCGAAAGCCUGACGCAGCCAUGCCGCGUGAAUGAUGAAGGUCUUAGGAUUGUAAAAUUCUUUCACCGGGGACGAUAAUGACGGUACCCGGAGAAGAAGCCCCGGCUAACUUCGUG